rnacentral:rRNA from 1 species
CCCUUAGAUGUCCUGGGCCGCACGCGCGCUACACUGAGUGUCUGAGAUACGAGUCUGCCUGGUCCGGCAAGGUCUAGGUAAUCGCUAAAAGACACAUCAUGCUUGGGAUAGAUUAUUGCAAAUAUUAAUCUUGAACGAGGAAUUCCUAGUAAGCGCAAGUCAACAGCUUGCGUUGAUUACGUCCCUGCCCGUUGUACACACCGCCCGUCGCUACUACUGAUUGGAUGUUUAAGCGAGGUUCUCGAACUGCUAGCGACUUAGCUUCGGUGAGGUCGCAGUGUGGGAAGUGAACCUAGCUUUGGUGUCUAGAGGAAGUAAAAGUCGUAACA